CAGCCGCCGCGGGAAUACGUAGGUGGCGAGCGUUGUCCGGAAUUAUUGGGCGUAAAGGGCUCGCAGGCGGUUUCUUAAGUCUGAUGUGAAAGCCCCCGGCUCAACCGGGGAGGGUCAUUGGAAACUGGGAAACUUGAGUGCAGAAGAGGAGAGUGGAAUUCCACGUGUAGCGGUGAAAUGCGUAGAGAUGUGGAGGAACACCAGUGGCGAAGGCGACUCUCUGGUCUGUAACUGACGCUGAGGAGCGAAAGCGUGGGGAGCGAACAGGAUUAGAUACCCCAGUAGUCCCUGUCUCUUAUAC
rnacentral:rRNA from 1 species